rnacentral:rRNA from 1 species
CAGCAGUCGCCGCGGUAAUACGUAGGUGGCAAGCGUUGUCCGGAUUUAUUGGGCGUAAAGCGAGCGCAGGCGGUCAAUUAGGUCUGAUGUGAAAGCCCCCGGCUCAACCGGGGAGGGUCAUUGGAAACUGGGAAACUUGAGUGCAGAAGAGGAGAGUGGAAUUCCACGUGUAGCGGUGAAAUGCGUAGAGAUGUGGAGGAACACCAGUGGCGAAGGCGACUCUCUGGUCUGUAACUGACGCUGAGGAGCGAAAGCGUGGGGAGCGAACAGGAUUAGAUACCCCAGUAGUCCCUGUCUCUUAUAC